UCACCUCGGCGGGCUGGCCGCCUCCAGGCUGGGCUGCACGAGUAUCUCUUGGAAAAGCUCACCCGCAAGCACAACUAGGAGC
rnacentral:pre_miRNA from 1 species